rnacentral:lncRNA from 1 species
GUGUCCUUGAAAGAGUGGAAAUUAGGAGUUGUCCAUCUUUCCUUUUCUUUCCAAAAGGUGAAUUACCCACCUCACUUAACCAACUGAUAAUUCAAGAUUGUGAAAAUGUCAAGUCCCUACCUGAGGGUAUUAUGCGCAAUUGCAAUCUCGAGCUGUUGAAUAUCCAGGGAUGUUCAUCUCUGACCUCAUUUCCAAGUGGUGAGUUACCCUCCACCCUUAAGCACCUCGUCAUUUCAAAUUUUGGGAAUCUGGAAUUGCUGCCGGAUCACAUGCCCAACCUCACAUUUCUUUAUAUUGAGGGAUGUAAGGGUCUCAAACAUCAUCACUUGCAAAACCUCACUUAUCUUGAACAUCUGAGAAUAGGUGGAUGUCUGAGUCUAGAGGCAUAUCCGGAAGGGGUUUGGGUUUGGGUUUCGCCCCCAACUUGAGAUAUGUUGCAAUUGUCAAUUGUGAGAAUCUGAAGACGCCUCUGUCAGGGUGGGGACUCAAU